UGGCCUUCAGUUGUUGCAAGUAGCAGUUACAAUGGUGUAGCAGCAGUUGAGGUAAAACAGCAGCAGUCCAUUGGAGCUUAUACGACUGAGAUAAUUCUCAGUAUGUUGUGACUAAUGGCUAUAGCAAUAUAUAGCAGUACCAAGAGUGACAGAGAGUGAAAAGAGAGACGAGAUGAGGGAAUAGCAAAAAAGAGAAGAGGGAACCAAGAGAGAAAGAGAUCGAGAAAAGGGGGGGGGAAUAGUUAGAGGCGAGAGAGAGGGGAGAUGUGAGAGAGGGGCAACAUCUUUGCUUUUUUUUUUCUUUCAAAAUUCAUUGACCUCCAUUGUGGCCAAUGGCCUUACAUAAGUAGUGAACUAGUUACUAAAAAAUAAAAAGGAAAGUAAAUCCUAAGGAAUAAUCUCAAAAUAAAGAUGUUUCUAAAAAAAAAAAAAAAUAAGAAAUAAAGUAGUUUUCUACGUAAUUCAAAGUCUAACUAAAUUAGAUAUUAGGAAAUAAAAAUUAAUAUGUUUAUACAUCAACAGUGGGGUCCACAAGACCUGGACAAAAAUUUGGAAAGAGAGAGGGACUCGAUCCAGCGUUGGAAAGGCUGGAUUAAGCCUCCCUUUCUUCCGCCUUUUUCUUCUUCUUCCAUCUUCUAAUCCUACAACCACAAAGAAGGUUUGGUCUUCUUCUUCCCUUGGUUGUACACCUUGAUGUCCCCAUCACUAUUACAGUAAGGACUUCUUAUUUACUGUGUUGUAUAAAAAAAAAAUUCAGUUUUGAAAUUAAUUUUACCUCUAAUUAUCCAUCUUCUAUUGUAUGGUGCUAGUCAUUUAAAGUCCCAUUGAAUCAGAUUACAAAAAACGGGGUGGGAGAGGGAACUAUGGCUUUUGCAAAAUGAUGAUUUAAUACUAUGGCUUUUGAUUUGUACCAGUUGCAUGUGAAAACUAUGCCUAGGAGUUGGAUUGGAAGUUCAAAGGAUCCAUUUUUCAAGACCACACCACAAUACAGGCGAGAGGUCAACAAAUUCAUUGACUAUGCAUUUUCUAGUACUACAGUCAAAGGGGAUCGGAUCCUAUGCCCAUGUGUGCAAUGAAGUUCAGUAGAAGUUUCAAAGUUCCAGCUGAUAGAGGUAGAAUUGCAAAAGAUGACAUUGGAAUAACUUGUCACAGAUUAUGUUUCUUUGGAAAUGUGGACAACAAAAACAAUGGAGUUUUUCCUUCUUUUUUUUUUUUUGGUGUGUAUUGGUGAAUCGAAGUGGUGAACAAAUGAAUGAAGUAUUAUGUAUUGACCUAUUAAAAAUUUGAUGAAAGACGAUGAAUUUUUUGAAUACUGUAAUACACUUUUUAAAUUUAAAUGAAAGUACGAAAUUCUAGAUGGA